rnacentral:tRNA from 1 species
AGCUCCGAGGUGUUACCACGUCAGAUUGCAAAUCUGAAGUAGCAGGCGAACUUCUGCCGGGGCUU